AAUGCAAACCGUUCUAUCGCCGCAAUUUUAUAUUGAGGAGGAAAGUCCGGGCAACAAAGAGCGUCUCGCUUCCUAACGGGAAGGGGUUUAGGAAUGAAGACCUAGGCCACGGAAAGUGCCACAGAAAAUAUACCGUCUCAACUUGUUGGGAUAAGGGUGAAAACGUGAGGUAAGAGCUCACGAGCUUUGUUAGUGAUAGCAAGGUUGGUAAACCCCGGGAGUUGAAAGACCAAAUAGGCUAACGCAUGUAGGGCUGCUCGUCCGAUGUUAGUGGGUAGGUCGUUAGAGGUAAAUGGCAACAUUUAUCCUGGAUUAAUGAUAGAAGUCCUUUUAGGAGGAAACAGAACCCGGCUUAUAGGUUUGCAUUUAUA
rnacentral:RNase_P_RNA from 1 species